rnacentral:rRNA from 1 species
CUUACCUACGGGGGGCAGCAGUGGGGAAUAUUGGUCAAUGGGCGCGAGCCUGAACCAGCCACGUAGCGUGAAGGAUGACUGCCCUACGGGUUGUAAACUUCUUUUAUAAAGGAAUAAAGGGAGGCACGUGUGCCUUUUUGUAUGUACUUUAUGAAUAAGGAUCGGCUAACUCCGUGCCAGCAGCCGCGGUAAUACGGAGGAUCCGAGCGUUAUCCGGAUUUAUUGGGUUAA